UCAAGUGAAGAAGCGCAUACGGUGGAUGCCUUGGCAGUCAGAGGCGAUGAAAGACGUGGUAGCCUGCGAAAAGCUUCGGGGAGUCGGCAAACAGACUUUGAUCCGGAGAUCUCUGAAUGGGGGAACCCACCUAGGAUAACCUAGGUAUCUUGUACUGAAUCCAUAGGUGCAAGAGGCGAACCAGGGGAACUGAAACAUCUAAGUACCCUGAGGAAAAGAAAUCAACCGAGAUUCCCUUAGUAGUGGCGAGCGAACGGGGAUUAGCCCUUAAGCCUCAUUGAUUUUAGCGGAACGCUCUGGAAAGUGCGGCCAUAGUGGGUGAUAGCCCCGUACGCGAAAGGAUCUUUGAAGUGAAAUCGAGUAGGACGGAGCACGAGAAACUUUGUCUGAACAUGGGGGGACCAUCCUCCAAGGCUAAAUACUACUGACUGACCGAUAGUGAACCAGUACCGUGAGGGAAAGGCGAAAAGAACCCCGGAGAGGGGAGUGAAAUAGAACCUGAAACCGUAUGCGUACAAGCAGUGGGAGCCUACUUGUUAGGUGACUGCGUACCUUUUGUAUAAUGGGUCAGCGACUUAUAUUCAGUGGCAAGCUUAACCGUAUAGGGUAGGCGUAGCGAAAGCGAGUCUUAAUAGGGCGUUUAGUCGCUGGGUAUAGACCCGAAACCGGGCGAUCUAUCCAUGAGCAGGUUGAAGGUUAGGUAACACUGACUGGAGGACCGAACCCACUCCCGUUGAAAAGGUAGGGGAUGACUUGUGGAUCGGAGUGAAAGGCUAAUCAAGCUCGGAGAUAGCUGGUUCUCCUCGAAAGCUAUUUAGGUAGCGCCUCAUGUAUCACUCUGGGGGGUAGAGCACUGUUUCGGCUAGGGGGUCAUCCCGACUUACCAAACCGAUGCAAACUCCGAAUACCCAGAAGUGCCGAGCAUGGGAGACACACGGCGGGUGCUAACGUCCGUCGUGAAAAGGGAAACAACCCAGACCGCCAGCUAAGGUCCCAAAGUUGUGGUUAAGUGGUAAACGAUGUGGGAAGGCUUAGACAGCUAGGAGGUUGGCUUAGAAGCAGCCAUCCUUUAAAGAAAGCGUAAUAGCUCACUAGUCGAGUCGGCCUGCGCGGAAGAUGUAACGGGGCUCAAACCACACACCGAAGCUGCGGGUGUCACGUAAGUGACGCGGUAGAGGAGCGUUCUGUAAGCCUGUGAAGGUGAGUUGAGAAGCUUGCUGGAGGUAUCAGAAGUGCGAAUGCUGACAUGAGUAACGACAAUGGGUGUGAAAAACACCCACGCCGAAAGACCAAGGGUUCCUGCGCAACGUUAAUCGACGCAGGGUUAGUCGGUUCCUAAGGCGAGGCUGAAAAGCGUAGUCGAUGGGAAACAGGUUAAUAUUCCUGUACUUCUGGUUACUGCGAUGGAGGGACGGAGAAGGCUAGGCCAGCUUGGCGUUGGUUGUCCAAGUUUAAGGUGGUAGGCUGAAAUCUUAGGUAAAUCCGGGGUUUCAAGGCCGAGAGCUGAUGACGAGUCGUCUUUUAGAUGACGAAGUGGUUGAUGCCAUGCUUCCAAGAAAAGCUUCUAAGCUUCAGGUAACCAGGAACCGUACCCCAAACCGACACAGGUGGUCGGGUAGAGAAUACCAAGGCGCUUGAGAGAACUCGGGUGAAGGAACUAGGCAAAAUGGCACCGUAACUUCGGGAGAAGGUGCGCCGGCUAGGGUGAAGGAUUUACUCCGUAAGCUCUGGCUGGUCGAAGAUACCAGGCCGCUGCGACUGUUUAUUAAAAACACAGCACUCUGCAAACACGAAAGUGGACGUAUAGGGUGUGACGCCUGCCCGGUGCCGGAAGGUUAAUUGAUGGGGUUAGCGCAAGCGAAGCUCUUGAUCGAAGCCCCGGUAAACGGCGGCCGUAACUAUAACGGUCCUAAGGUAGCGAAAUUCCUUGUCGGGUAAGUUCCGACCUGCACGAAUGGCGUAACGAUGGCGGCGCUGUCUCCACCCGAGACUCAGUGAAAUUGAAAUCGCUGUGAAGAUGCAGUGUAUCCGCGGCUAGACGGAAAGACCCCGUGAACCUUUACUGUAGCUUUGCACUGGACUUUGAGCCUGCUUGUGUAGGAUAGGUGGGAGGCUUUGAAGCGUGGACGCCAGUUCGCGUGGAGCCAUCCUUGAAAUACCACCCUGGCAUGCUUGAGGUUCUAACUCUGGUCCGUAAUCCGGAUCGAGGACAGUGUAUGGUGGGCAGUUUGACUGGGGCGGUCUCCUCCUAAAGAGUAACGGAGGAGUACGAAGGUGCGCUCAGACCGGUCGGAAAUCGGUCGCAGAGUAUAAAGGCAAAAGCGCGCUUGACUGCGAGACAGACACGUCGAGCAGGUACGAAAGUAGGUCUUAGUGAUCCGGUGGUUCUGUAUGGAAGGGCCAUCGCUCAACGGAUAAAAGGUACUCCGGGGAUAACAGGCUGAUACCGCCCAAGAGUUCAUAUCGACGGCGGUGUUUGGCACCUCGAUGUCGGCUCAUCACAUCCUGGGGCUGAAGCCGGUCCCAAGGGUAUGGCUGUUCGCCAUUUAAAGUGGUACGCGAGCUGGGUUUAGAACGUCGUGAGACAGUUCGGUCCCUAUCUGCCGUGGACGUUUGAGAUUUGAGAGGGGCUGCUCCUAGUACGAGAGGACCGGAGUGGACGAACCUCUGGUGUUCCGGUUGUCACGCCAGUGGCAUUGCCGGGUAGCUAUGUUCGGAAAAGAUAACCGCUGAAAGCAUCUAAGCGGGAAACUUGCCUCAAGAUGAGAUCUCACUGGGAACUUGAUUCCCCUGAAGGGCCGUCGAAGACUACGACGUUGAUAGGCUGGGUGUGUAAGCGUUGUGAGGCGUUGAGCUAACCAGUACUAAUUGCCCGUGAGGCUUGACCAU
rnacentral:rRNA from 1 species